CGGGCAGGGCCUAACACCAUAGCAAGUCGAACGGCGAGCGGGGGAGUAGGCUUGCUAUCCUGCCGGCGGAGCGGCGGACGGGUGAGUAAUGCAUGGGGAGGCUGCCCAAUCGAGGGGAGUAACGAACUGGAAACGGUUAGCUAAUACCGCAUACGCCCUGCGGGGAAAGGUGGGGACCUUCGGGCCUACCGCGAUUGGAUGCACCCAUGUGGGAUUAGCUAGUUGGUGAGGUAACGGCUCACCAAGGCGACGAUCUCUAGCUGGUCUGAGAGGAUGACCAGCCACACUGGAACUGAGACACGGUCCAGACUCCUACGGGAGGCAGCAGUGGGGAAUAUUGCACAAUGGGGGAAACCCUGAUGCAGCCAUGCCGCGUGUGUGAAGAAGGCCUUCGGGUUGUAAAGCACUUUCAGUGGGGAGGAAGGGCUGAUGACUAAUAUUCAUCAGCAUUGACGUUACCCACAGAAGAAGCACCGGCUAACUCCGUG
rnacentral:rRNA from 1 species